ensembl:lncRNA
AUGCAUUUUUUUUUCUUUUUUGCACACAAUACUGUUCUACAAACGCGUGNAAAAAAAAAAAAAAAAAAAGUCUUCCGGAGGCUCCCAAAAGUUCAGGGACACGUGCAAGCGGUCGGCGUCCUGCAGGAGGCCGUGCCCGAGGUUCCCCCGCGAGGGAGGUGCGGGGCAGGGGCGGGGCCGGUGCGCCCCCCCCCCCCCCCGGCAGCACGCGGACUAGGCUCAGGCACCGGCCGCCACGCUCCCCCAACCCCAGCGGGAACAGCGGCCGCCCGGGCCCCAACAGGGCGGGGGAGCGGGGCCUCGGAGCGCAGAGCCCCGGCGCCCCGGGGAGGCGGCGGGGCGGGGUCCACACAGCGGCCGAGCACGCACGCUCCGGCGCUCGGGCGCUGCGCCCCCCGGGGNCGCGUUCCCGCAGGCCCCGCCGUCAACGCAGCCGCUAACGCACCCCGCGCGGCGGGCCCUCGGCAGCCUGGGGGUUGUGGGCGGCCUCCCGACCGCACCGAGAGCCCCCCGAGCCCGCCGCGGCCACAGCACCCCGACUCCCGCCUCGGCGGCCGCCAUCGCGCCCGGAGAACGAGCUUUUACGACAGCUCCCACAAUGCCCGCGGCCUACAACUCCCACAAUGCCCGCGGCCUACAACUCCCAGAGUGCACCGGGCGGCGCGCGGCGAACUCUGCGGGGGCUCACGGUGCCGGGCCGUGAGCCCCGCUGCCCUCUGCGGGGUCCCAGCUGCUGCACCGCCCUGCCCCUGCGCCCGGCCGGCGUGCCCGCUGUGCCAUGCGGCGCGCUCGUGCCCUCUCGCUGCCCUCCUGCCCCCCUCGAGCCGCCGCAGCUGCCCCCCAGGUUGUGGUAGCACGGAUAUUCCGGUUCUCAACACUUAUCAACUCAAAAACCUGUGCUUCUAAACUCUGGGCACCAACUACAGAGGAGGGCAGUCCUACAGUUGGCUGCAGUGGUCUCUAACUCCACGUUCCCUAAGAUGAAUUCCCCCCCCCUCAAAAAAAUGUAUGCAACUCCAAACAAGUCCCAAUAAGAAACGUAAGGCAUGGGCAAUCUAUCUUUUCGAUUUCAAGUUCUUUUUUUCCCUUUUUUUUUUUUUAAGGAGAAACUCUGUUGUGCCAAUAUAUACUUUGUUUUCCCUUUUCCUUUCGAUUGAUAGAAAAAUAAUCAGAAAUAGCCUGCACUCCUACUUUAUCCCUUUCUGACCUUAAAAACUAGCAAGCAAUCAGCCAAAAGACAGUUUCAUAUAGUUUGAAAAGAAAACCCAGAGUGCAUUCUUUGAGAAAACUGCACAAUCACACAUUUUGCUGAUGAGAGAACCCCUUUUAAAGUUCCUCGUUUCAACUAAAAAUAAGUUUUUAAAAUGCACUUCUUUUAAAUACACUGCCCAUAAUUUCAGUAAAGAUGAUAAUCGUAUUUAGGGGUCACUGUAUCAUCAAUAUAAGUUAAAUGUGUAAGAUAUUCUUUACACAAACUGUAACUUGCUCAGACGUGUAACCGACUGACACACAGAAUAAUUGUUUGGUAUUUGAUGCAUGCACGAAAAACAAAACUAGAAUUCUCCUACAGUACCUGCUUUUUUUCUCCUACCAAAAUAUAAAAUAAAAUGUACAUAAGGUCUGAUUUUAACA